CCUACGGGCGGCAGCAGUGAGGAAUAUUGGUCAAUGGGCGAGAGCCUGAACCAGCCAAGUCGCGUGAGGGAGUACUGCCCUAUGGGUUGUAAACCUCUUUGUCGGGGAGCAAAAGCCGGACGUGUCCGGCUGUGAGAGUACCCGACGAAAAAGCAUCGGCUAACUCCGUGCCAGCAGCUGAGGUAAUACGGGGGAUGCGAGCGUUAUCAGGAUUUAUUGGGGUGAAAGGGUGCGCAGGCGGAUUGUUAAGUCCGCGGUCACAUCGUGGGGCUCAACCCCGUCCAGCCGUUGAAACUGGCAGUCUUGAGUACAGUAGAGGUAGGCGGAAUUCGUGGUGUAGCGGUGAAAUGCUUAGAUAUCACGAAGAACUCCGAUUGCGAAGGCAGCUCACUGGACUGCAACUGACGCUGAUGCGCGAAAGCGUGGGUAUCAAACAGGAUUAGAUACCCGUGUAGUC
rnacentral:rRNA from 1 species